rnacentral:misc_RNA from 1 species
CACCAGAAUACACUGCCCGUCCGUCCAAAUUCUUUCCUGCUUGUCAUGAUUGCCAGUGCAGCAGCACUUUCGCCCGCUUCCGACCUUGCUUACUAGCCGGUGUGCCAACGCCAAGGGGCUGCAUCUGGGGUGGCUACUAGGCAGAGUAGGCGACGCCACUCUUCCACUUGCGUGUGGCGGUACAAACACGGGCAUGCACACAUAGACUCACAAGGCCGUAAACACAUAGGGCGCAUGCUGACACAGACUCACCUCAAGCUGCAGACUCAAACUUGAACACCAAAAAGCUGAAGCCAGAGAGAGAGAGGGGCGAUACCGGACGAACUCUGCAACGUUACUGUGCAGCCCUCGCCGUCCUCUCCUGCUGUUGUAGGACUGCACUCUAUCGCUUUUUGCGUAGUGACGGCUGGCAUUUGGCUCCCAUUUCCACCGGUGUACUGGCGAGUGUUGCUGCUUAUCCACCAUGUCGGAGCUGCACAUCGUCGGCGAGAUCGUGUGCGGCCACGAUUUCGGCGACAGCAGCUACUUUUGCAGCUACGAGAUGAUAACGGGCACGCAGUGGACCGCCGUCGAGGGGCGUACCUCCGGCUCGACACACGUGAUGCGCAGCGGCAGCGACGGCAUCCCGUGGAACUACCCCAUCGAUGUGCACUACAGCUUUAACAGCGUGCAGGGUUGGCCGAAGAUCGCGAUUCAGGUAUGGCAGCUCGAUAGCUACGGCUGCAAGGAUAUUGGCGGCUACGGCACCGCGUACUUGCCCAUGCCUGGCGGCGGGGAGCAGGAGCUGUGCCUGUCGACGUGGAGGCCGAAUUUGUGGAGCUCCAGCGCACUUGUGCGCUUGUGGCAGACGCUUCGCCUGUCUGUCAUGGGCGGCUACCCGGUGCUCCGCGACAACUCUCUCAUUGCCGACAACGAACAACGCUUCAAGCUGCACACAGUGACAAGCGGCACCGUGAAGAUGUCCUUCACAGUGAUGGGACGUGGAAUGAAGCAGGCCGGCCUCAUUUACGCAUAAUCUCGCGCAAGGCCACAGAUGCAUGGGUGCAACGCUUGCCUCUCUCUGUCUCCAUGUGCACGUGCGCAUACACGUCACCGUUUUCAGUGUCUUCUUGUUCUCUCUCUCGUCCAUUGUUGUAUGCCCGCACUAG